UACGGAGGAUCCGAGCGUUAUCCGGAUUUAUUGGGUUUAAAGGGUGCGUAGGCGGUUCAAUAAGUCAGUGGUGAAAGUUUUCGGCUUAACCGGAAAAUUGCCGUUGAUACUGUUGGGCUUGAAUUUGGUUGCUGUGAGUGGAAUGUGUGGUGUAGCGGUGAAAUGCUUAGAUAUCACACAGAAUAUCGAUUGCGAAGGCAUCUCACAAAGCCAAUAUUGACGCUGAUGCACGAAAGUGUGGGGAUCAAACAGG
rnacentral:rRNA from 2 species